rnacentral:rRNA from 1 species
UACGUAGGUGGCGAGCGUUGUCCGGAUUUACUGGGUGUAAAGGGCGUGUAGGCGGGGAAACAAGUCAGAUGUGAAAUCCCGGGGCUUAACUCCGGAGCUGCAUCUGAAACUGUUUUUCUUGAGUGCUGGAGAGGAAAGUGGAAUUCCCAGUGUAGCGGUGACAUGCGUAGAGAUUGGGAGGAACACCAGUGGCGAAGGCGGCUUUCUGGACAGUAACUGACGCUGAGGCGCGAAAGCGUGGGGAGCUAACAGC